UGCGAGCGGCGUGGCGACGGACGCAACUUCACGUGACAACACCUAUCGCUUGGCUGUGGUAAACCGGCAACGUUGUUCUUGAAAAUUUUUGCAAAAAAAUGUAUACAUUGUCGUCGAGGCUUUGAGAACAGAUGCAUGUUUCAGAGAUAUAGCCGUCGUCAUAAGGAGCAAAUCAACAUCUAAAGGGCUUCGAUUCAUGGACGUCACCUACGCGGCAGCGUACGAACAUCGGUUGCAAUUUGCCGACAGACACAACAGGAAGGCGUCUUCUGAGUCAAACUACUGCGGUCUUCCUCUGCGGGUGGAAUCCCACACAGGAACCAUUAUCAUCUGCAAAGAGGGCUGCGUGUGAAGCUUGUUGAUCUUGACAAAUAUUUCCAUGAAACAACGUUCACGACUGCCCGUGUAACAUUGCUGCCCUAUCGUCAUAACAUGCGAAACUGUGGAAAAUCCUCGUUCUACGUGGAGCACCGGCCGCAGUUCCUCCGGCGCAGCCUUGGAGAUAGACCGCUGUCAUCGCCUGUCCGUGGCAUAUCAUCGUCGCCGUUCGGGACUCGUGUAGAGGAGCUCCAUCUAUAUCGGGCCGUGGACAACGACGAAGAUGAUCACGCGCCUGGAGCGCCGGCCACAGUUCCUCCGGCGCGGCCUUGGAGAUAGACCACUGUCAUCGCCUGUCCGUGGCAUAUCAGCGUCAUCGCCGGUCGGGGCUCAUGUAGGGGAGCACCAUCUCCUCUGCAUUAUUGUAGCGGGCCGUGGACAACGACGAAGAGGGCCACGCGCCUGGAGCAGUGCUCCCCCCUCCCGGUGUAACUGAUACUGGUGCUCCAGACGCGUGACCAUCUCCGUCGUUGUCCACGGCCCGCGACAGUUUCAUUAACCAAUAACCACGCGCACUCUUGGACAUAAGUUUUUCAGUUUUAAUGUGAAACACACACGUACAUGUACUCCAAGUUUAAUUAUGUAAAUAUUUGCGAACUAAACUCGGAAAUUUGCCAAGUAAAGGCCACUUUUUUACUCCACCAAAAUGAA